UACCUUUCCGGUCGAGAAUUCAGGUUUCUGUUCACAUUUGAGAGCUGAAGAUGCGAUUUUUCAUCACAGUGCAUGCUUUGGAAGCAAAUCACACGCAGCUGACACAGGAUGACAAUCAAAAAUAGCCCAGCUAGGCGAGAAAACUGCAGACCUGGCAACAAUGGCUCCAGUGCCUCCUCUGUGUCACACUGCUCCGCCCAUGAGACUCCGCCCACCUUACAUGCCUGACCUUUGCACUCCUCUGCCCAAGCCAAGAACGAGUGUCCCUCUGUCAACAUGGCGUACAAGGAAAGAGAGAAAGAGAGUCAGUGCCCUCUGCCAGCUCCCGGCCUGCCUCAGAACUGCCGUCACUCAAGCCCUUUAGCUGCCUCCCAUGCGCACGUGUGUGACAACAGACUGUUA